GACGAACGCUGGCGGCGUGCUUAACACAUGCAAGUCGAACGGAAAGGCCCUGCUUUUGUGGGGUGCUCGAGUGGCGAACGGGUGAGUAACACGUGAGUAACCUGCCCUUGACUUUGGGAUAACUUCAGGAAACUGGGGCUAAUACCGGAUAGGAGCUCCUGCUGCAUGGUGGGGGUUGGAAAGUUUCGGCGGUUGGGGAUGGACUCGCGGCUUAUCAGCUUGUUGGUGGGGUAGUGGCUUACCAAGGCUUUGACGGGUAGCCGGCCUGAGAGGGUGACCGGCCACAUUGGGACUGAGAUACGGCCCAGACUCCUACGGGAGGCAGCAGGGGGGAAUAUUGCACAAUGGGCGGAAGCCUGAUGCAGCAACGCCGCGUGCGGGAUGACGGCCUUCGGGUUGUAAACCGCUUUCGCCUGUGACGAAGCGUGAGUGACGGGAAUGGGUAAAGAAGCACCGGCUAACUACG
rnacentral:rRNA from 1 species